GAUGGAGGAGAGAAGCCAAACUGGGCAAGUGCAGGGGGAGAUGGGUGAGCUGGGGCGAUCCCCCAUCCUUCUCCGGCAGUUACGGAGAAGGAGGUGCAGCAGUGGUGAGUGGCCGGCGUGUUGGUGAGCUGCCGGGGCGCGGGGCUGGUGGGCAAGGGGCCGGGAGCCGGUGGCACACAGCAACCCCUCCGGCCGUG
rnacentral:lncRNA from 1 species